GAUGAACGCUGGCGGCGUGCUUAACACAUGCAAGUCGAACGAAAAGGCCCUGCUUUUGUGGGGUGCUCGAGUGGCGAACGGGUGUGUAUCACGUGAGUAUCAUGCACUUGACUUUGGGAUAACUUCAGGAAACAGGGGCUAAUACCGGGUAGAAGAUACUGCUGCAUGGGGGGGGAUGGAAAGAUUCGGCGGUUGGGGAUUGACUCGAGGGUUAUCAGCUUGUUGGUGGGGUUGUGGCUUACCAAGGUUUUGAAGGGUAGCCUGCCUGAGAGGGUGACCGGCGCCACUGGCACCUAGGGACGGCCGCGACUCCUACGGUAGGCAGCAGGGGGGAAGCUUGCCGAAGCGGCGGAAGCCGGGUGAUGCAACGCUUCGGGCGGGAUAACGGCGUUCGGGUUGUAAACCGCAUGUGCCUGUAACGAAGCGUGUGUGGCGGUAAUGUGUAAAGAAGCACCGGCUAACUACGUG
rnacentral:rRNA from 1 species